rnacentral:lncRNA from 1 species
CCGCCGCGCUGCCUUGGAAUACGAUAAGGCGGUGCAAUGUUGUGCCGCGCUCUGUUCACAAUAAUCGCCGUAUCAUGUACGUUCCCACGUAUAAAACACGUACACGCUCAGGGCACACAGCGUAUAGUUCAGAUAAAAGGUUUCAAUUAAUAUUGUCAAUUAACAAUUGAGUUUAAACUAAUAAUAUCAACGAAUGGUUAAAACAUUUUAAAUGCGUUUGAAUUAAAGUUUUUUUGGAAUAGCAAUUCGUGGACAGUGUUUAGGCAAUAAAUUUGAUAUGUGUACUUAUAUUGAGUGGUUUACAAAAGGAAGAUCUGGAUGUGAACAUGUUGAAGAAACUUGAACGUCAUGGCUUGAAUAUUAACGAUAUGAACAAUGAGAAUCUGAGAGAUGAUUGUUUAAACAGCGCAAAACAACUGUUAAAGAUGAAUAUUCAAAUACUGAAGCUACAACAUCAAUUACAGAAAUGAUGUUCACGAGCCGGCAAAGAGAUCAAUCUAAUAACAAAGAAACAAAUAAAACUGAUUUAAAAUCGUUUAUAAAAUAUUUCAUGGAACUACAAAACUCGAAUGAUAAAUCAAAAACAAAAAUGUCGAAGACGUUACUACUAAGAAUAUUGUAUUACAAGAUUACGAUAUACUGCAAAGUAGUAACAUAAAGUACAUAUUUAAUGAUUUAAUUGGAUACAAUUCGCCUCAACUGAAAAAUAGUAAGUCACAAACAACCACAGAAGGGAAGCUUCAACUAUUUUCUCAAAAUAUUAUAAAGCUUUGGAAUACCUAUAGUAAACAAGAUUAUACUUCGUCUCGGCCAAGAACAUUACCAACUACUAGUUCAAGUCCAAAUAAAAACAUGAAUGUUCCGGAAAUUGACAUUAUGAAAAAGAUAUUAGCAGAUUAUAUUUCCAACAAGAAUGAAAUGAUUCAUACAACUACACAGUCACCUCGAACAACAGAGCUAGACAUAGAUAGAAUAUCUGAUGAAAUUAGAAGAUUUUUAGCCAAUACACAUAAUACUAAUGAAACUAACGGGCGGAAUAUUGGUACAAAAGAAGAAGUUAAUAAAAACAAUCCACAAAUAAAUACUUAUACAAAUACAUCAAGAAAUGAUGUCUACGAUAAUAUCAUAAAAGAAACAAAUAACUUUUUCAGUCGAAGACCAACUAUGGAAGAUAACAAUUUUGGUACAGUUGCUUUAAAAAACAAGUCAACCCUACCCAUCGCCGAUGAAGUGAGGUUAGAUUACCACGAAGAUCUUGCAAAGCAUAAUAAUGCACAAACAAAAAAAGAAAUGCCAAAUAAUAGCGAACAAGCUAUAUCAAAUAAUAGACUAGGAAACUAUAACUUGAUGAAGGAUGAUAGCAUUUUCAAUACAAUUAAUAACUUAUAUACAAAUAUGACAAAAGAUAAUAAUCAGAAGAUUAAACAUGAAAAACCUUUACCAAGCGAAAUCAUCAAAGAAAUUGCAGAAAGCGUUAAAGCAAUCGUACUUAAUGACAUAAAAAAGGAAAUAUCCGGUAUAACAACGAAAUCUACAUUGACCACAACAGGUACGUUAUUCUUUUAAACAUAAAAAGACAAAAAACUUAUUAAACUUCUUUUCUCAUUCCAGAAACAUCAACCCUCACUACAAAAAAUGUCGACGGAAAAGGAAUAGAAGUUACGCAUAUGAUGGAAAAAUUCAUGGAACUAUUCCAACAAUUUAAAUCUAUCGAAGAAAAAACUAUAACAUCAGGAAAUUCGCAAAUAAAGGUGACCGAACAGAAAGACGUCAAACAUGAAUUCAAAGGACCCGUUAAAGUAGUGUACACAUCUAAUAAACCAGCAAUGAGUCCUUACGGUGUGAGAACUCCAAAUGAACAAUUCGCGCCAAUUUUCGUUGAACAAAACAAUAAUGUACCAAAUACGAUUGUUCGAAAAUUCAAUGUACCACCUACUAUGAUGAACCCAGUAUAUCAAGUGCAUGAAAUCAACAACUAUCAAGUCAAAACUGGACUAAGACUUGCACCUAUAACUAUACAAACGAAUUCUUUUGAAGUGCCUCCUUUGGGUAUACCGAUAGCUAAGCCGAUUUUGGUUCAUCAAAAUAUCAUUGUUACUACAAAGAGUCCCAAUUUAAGACCGAGGCUUGAUACUCAUCACACAAGCUACAUUCAUCAUAUUGAUCGUUACAACAUAGACGAUGAAUUUCGGAGUAGAGAUAAUUGGCAGAAGCCUUUGACAAAUCCGAAAAGAGAAUUCCGAUCACGAGCUAGAGAUGCGUAUACGCUUAACCAACGUGACAAUUAUAAAAUAAAGAAAAACGAUAGAUCUAAAUUCGAUAAUCAUAAUGACGACUUUGACCGUGAAUAUAAACCGCAUUUUACCAAAUCAGACUACGAUCGUAUGA